UUCCCAUUGCGCACUGAUUGGAUCAGACUAAUGAGUACACCUGUUCACACCAUAUAAGUACACGAGAGGCGGAGUGCCCACUGCCAGUACAGCGGACUCGUCCCCCACUUCCUCCGCACCGACGACGAGACGAGACGUGACGCGACGUGGCGUGGCGUUCCAGAUUUCCCUCCCUCGUGGCGUGCCAGAGUUCCCUCCCUCGUGGCUAGGCUGGUCCGUACCGACGACGAGACGAGAUGCGACGCGGCGUGGCAUGCCAGAGUUCCCUCCCUCGUGGUUAGGCUGGUCAAGGAGGUUAAAGAUGGGCUGGUGAAGGUACCGGUUUCAUAAGGAGCACAACAACCUAGGAUGGGGGACGACGACAGCAGCAUUUUAAACCGCAGGCAUUCAGCAGGGAGGCGUGCCGUCACAACCACAGGCACACCAGGCCGGAGGCGUGCAGCCUACAGCCAGGCGCCCAGCAAGCGGAAAAGGCGCAGCUACGGAGCUAGCCAGGCGCUCAGCAGGCCGGAACGUGCAGCCGCAGCCAGGCACCCAGCAGGCGGGAGGCGUGCAGCUACAAGGAGGAAUGCAGCCACAGGCAGGACCACAGGCAGGACCACAGGGCGUUUUUGGCCCCGAUAGGACCCCAGGUAGUUGUUUUGAUGUUUGCUGUGGUUUGCGUCUUCCUGAUAGCGUUUUACGCUUGUCGGUUGAAUCUUCAUAGUUUAUCGACUUAAGUCUCUAGGAUUGAGUUCCUUCGCCGUAAGUGUUUUCCAUAUCUGACGUUUUUUCUUUGUUUUUGGGUAAGAGUUUCAUUUUGAGUUCGUCGACCGAGGGCAUUUAGACGAAGUUGUUGGUACAUGUGUGGCUUCUGUUAUGUUAAAUGUUUUGCGUUGCAUACGAAUGAACUGAACGGGGGAAUGCCCAGGCGGUGUAAUCUUUUCGGCGAGGGUGUAUUUUUGUCAUGCUCGAGCGGUGCCUGAAAUGCUAAUCUAUGUGACAAGAUGUACACGUGGUGUCAAUGUCGAUGCUUUGCCGUGUCAGUUAUAGUAGCACUCGAGGAGUGCACAAUGCCGUGCUCGACAGAUGAUUAAACAAUUUGUUUAGUCACAUAUGCACGAGCUAUGCGAUAUCGCACCUGGGAAGUGGCGCCAAAAUUUCAUCAAAUUAUAGAGAUGUACACGAGGUGUACGAUAUCGCACUUGGGGAGUGGCGAGAAAUUUUACAUUGUGGAACAGAGAUGUACACGAGGUGUACGAUAUCGCACUUGGGAAGUGGCGAGAAAUUUUACAUUGUUUAAAGAAAUGUACACGAGGUGUACGAUAUCGCACUCGGGGAGUGGCGAGAAAUUUUACAUUGUGGAACAGAGAUGUACACGAGGUGUACGAUAUCGCACUCGGGGAGUGGCGAGAAAUUUUACAUUGUUUAAAGAGAUGUACACGGGGUGUACGAUAUCGCACUCGGGGAGUGGCGAGAAAAUUUACAUUGUUUAAAGAGAUGUACACGAGGUGUACGAUAUCGCACUCGGGGAGUGGCGAGAAAUUUUACAUUGUUUAAAGAGAUGUACACGAGGUGUACGAUAUCGCACUCGGGGAGUGGCGAGAAAAUUUACAUUGUGGAACAGAGAUGUACACGAGGUGUACGAUAUCGCACUCGGGGAGUGGCGAGAAAUUUUACAUUGUUUAAAGAGAUGUACACGAGGUGUACGAUAUCGCACUUGGGAAGUGGCGAGAAAUUUUACAUUGUUUAAAGAAAUGUACACGAGGUGUACGAUAUCGCACUUAGGAAGUGCCGGAAAGGGUUGAAUUGUUAAAAAAAAAAAGACAUGUACACGAGGUGUGCGACAACGCACUUGGGAAAUGCCGGAAGAUUUUACAUUUAUUGAUGAAAGAGAAGUGCACGAGUGGUCCAAUGUCACACUUGGGAAGUGCCGGAAAAUUUUAUAUGGGUUUGAAGAUGUACACGGGGGUACAGCAUUGCGCUCGGGGAGUGCCGGAAAUGUUACUUUGUUUGAAGAGAUGUACACGUACGUGGUGUACGACUUUGCACUUGCACCAUGGUUGGUGUGUGUUUCUCGUUUCGCUUUUAGGACAAUAGCAGAGCUUCGAAGGGAGUUGAACGAAGUAAGAGGCAGGGUUGAUGCAGGGUUGAAGCAAGGACGUUCAGGGGAAGACGUGAGGAACGAGAUCUUGCAAUACGCGAGUCUACCGCGGACAGUCUUCGACUCGCACCGGGCUCUCGCCCUCAUGGAGACCAUAGUAACCCAGGCGAGGAGGACGCGCAUCCCAGGUCUGGCGAAGUCAGGUUCAUCCUCGAGAGGUCCACCCCGCACUGCGACCAAGGGGGAUUUGGGGUUGGAGCAGAUAAAGUCUGCAAGGACAUAGACACCUGCGUGAAUCUGCACGAGGUUUGCAGUGCUGGGCGCGGUAAGAUACCCACGUCAUCGGCAAAGCAAGGGGCGGACACUUCGGCUGCGUGCAGCGCCAGGCACCGUACUUCAGCCUGGCCCCGAGCGAGGAAGGGGAGAGGACGCCGGGAGCUGCCUACCGACGAGUGCUUCCUGUGGAAAAAAUAACUGGGACUCUGGGCACGACAUUACCCUGAAGUUGCAACAAAGUACUAAGUUAUAGGACUCCCUUGUGCUCUUAUCUAGGAGAUGGUAGAGACGUCUUGACAGGCUAUAGUUGUAGUACUGUACGGUGACUUGUGAAAGCGCUAUGUUCAGCCGCUAUUUAAGUUAAAGUUUGUGCCUAGGAAACGUUUUCUUAUGCCGUAUGGGUCCGCGUAACCAAGAUUUCCGUUUGUCAAAUUGACGGGUACAUUACGUAUUGAUAAAGUAGACAUGCGGGCUAUUGAUUGAUGUGUAAGAAUGGCGUUUCUAUUAAAAGAUUGUAUGAUACAUGGUGGUGUGGCCAUCACGGUGGAAAUCUGCAGGAGAGAGGAAUAAAACUUGAAAUGAUGUCAGUUGUCUUGAGUCUUACCUGGUUGUUAACAUUUCGGGGUUUGUUAGUAGGCAUGUAACUAAGCAGAUCCUGACAGUAGAAAUAGCAUUGGUUUUAUGCUUUACACAUGUUCUCACGUGAGAAAUACGCAUGAAUUCGAGACAAAUCUGAAAAUUUACGAUAAUGAUGUGCGUCUAUUAAUAAACGUUGGAGGGUAAAGAUUAAGACAGAUCGUUUGAGUACCAUUCGGUAAUGGCAACAAGGAGCUCGAGGAAAUAAAUAAUUGAUUACACAUUAUUUUGUGUGUGUGUGAAUUUCACGGCAGAAGGAUCUGGUGGGCGUAGCCGUACUGUUUAGUUCUUGGUGUUUAAUAUGCACAAUGGCUUUCAUGACGGAUGACGAUCCUAGUCCGCAGCGCCAAAAAGUAAGGAGAGGGCUUGUGUUUCAGGACUGAUCAGGUUCAUGAUGCCUUCGACUAGUUAGAGGCAUUACGGGAUGAUUAUUAUAAUUAAUGGAGUAUAGGUCAUUGAUUUUUGCGGCAAUAAAGUCAACUCUGCUGGAAAGGCUCCACGAUUUUGAGACAGCAGUGGUUCAAUAGCAUACAUUUUAGAUAGUACGGCUUAGACUUAUGGUUCGGCUGAUAAACGCGUGGAAAUCUAGAAAACUACUGGAAAACUCAGACGCACGGUGAUCAGCGUCGUAUUUCAUUGAGCCUUUGUUUACAAAUCGAUAACGUAGCUCAAGACCUACAAAUGGGCAUAUAACUUAUAAGGCCGGAGCAUUACCGGCGUUUUGGCGUUUACUAGGGCUUCGAGCGUCCUUUCAAAAUUUAAACCUCCGUCUGAGAUCAACUGCACACCAAAAGGCAGGAAAGACUGGACCUUUCUAUAUUGGAAACACCGAGCCCCGACCGAGUUGUAAGAGGGCAGGUCAGUGGAUACGG